rnacentral:lncRNA from 1 species
UAAACACUCUUAUAUUUCUUUACAGAGGGAGUAGAUUGGAGAUGCCCUAACUACUCACAAUAUUUUUCACUGCAGUGGUAUAUUCAAUAAAAAGGCUCAAUGUACAUCAACAAUUACAUUACAUUCUGGCAUGAAGUAAUUGAGAUUUAUCAGCAUCCAUAUACAAUUCACAACAGGUACUUUAUCAGCAUCCACAUACAAUUCACAACAGGUACUUUAUCAGCAUCCACAUACAAUUCACAACAGGUACUUUAUCAGCAUCCACAUACAAUUCACAACUGGUACUUCACAGGCAUCCUCGUGAUCCAAAUGCUAAAGCCAAAAAAAGGACAAGAGAAUAAAACUCACGGAGCUAGCUAUGAUAGUUUAACCAUGGAUAACACAUCACCACUUCAUCUUAACAGCCAGCUUUCAGAACUCAGAACUGAUGCCACAGAUAGCUAAAUUUAGAGGGCGGCAUUCACUGGCCACAGCAUCGACCUUCACCAUGUCAACAGAAAACUAGGGAGAAGAGCACUGUUACUCAAUCUUCACAGACAACUAGGGAGAAGAGCACUGUUACUCAAUCUUCACAGACGAGUAAAUCAGCCUAGUGAACAUUAAACAGGCGUAGAAUCCAAUUGUACCCGUCAAGGCAAAGAACGCAUACGAGGCGAUGAGCAUGUAGCCGAAGUAAAGGAUGGCUGACACAAACUUUGUGAUCUCCAGCUUUGUGUAGAAGUAGAAAGUCGCAUAUAGGAAGAGGUACAGGGCAGAAGAUCCUGAUGUCAAGUAUGAUCUCCACCACCACAGGUAAUCCUCACUGCAUAGCUGGAAGUAGCAGAGCACAAUCGAGAUCUCAGCACAUGUGACGAUUAGAAUAAGGAAGACAAGGAAGAGGAACCCAAAGAUGUAGUAGAAUUGGUGCAGCCAGAUGGAGGUCAGGAUAAAGAAGAGCUCAAUGAACACAGCUCCAAAUGGAAGGAUCCCUCCAAUUAGAAUCGAAAAGAUUGAGUUCAUGUACCAGGCUUGCUCAGGUACCUGCCUGGGUAUCUUGUUUGUUUUCACUGGGUCUUCAAUGGCUGGUUUCUUGAAACCAAGGUAACUCCCAACAAACACUAAAGGCACCGAGAUACCAAACCAAAGGAGGACAAGGGCAAACAUUGUGGUGAAUGGAACUGCACCAGAGGACUUCUGCCCCCAGAUAAGAAUAUUCAAGAAGAAGAAAACAGUGAACACACUGCCAGGGAAGGUGAAUGCUGUCCUCAAGGCAAUGUUCUUCCACUCUGAGCCCUUGAACAACUUGUAAAGACGUGAAGAAGAGUAGCCAGCAAGCAAACCCAUGAAAACCCAAAGCAAGAGCAUAGCUGUCAUCAGUCCACCUCUGUUGGAUGGAGAAAGGAAGCCAAGGACUGCAAAGACCAUCGUGACAAGCAUCAUGCCAAAAAACUGGACACCUGUACCAACAUAAACACAGAGCCAAUCAGAGUUGGCAGGCGGCCUGAAAACAUCACCAUGAACAAGCUUCCAUCCAGUUUCUUCUUGGGCUUCCUCCUGAGUCUCAAGCUGGUUAUACUUGGAGAUGUCCCGAUAAAGGGUCCGAAGCAUGAUCAUUGCAACCAUUCCGGAAAGGAAGAGAACGAUCAUGAGAGAAUUUACAAUGGAGAACCAAUGGAUUUGAUCGUCUGUCAUCAGCAGAUAACUAUCCCAGCGAGAUGCCCACUUGAUAUCACUCUCCUGCAAGUUGAU